UACAGAGGUGGCAAGCGUUGUUCGGAAUUACUGGGCGUAAAGGGCGCGUAGGCGGCCUACUAAGUCAGACGUGAAAUCCCCCGGCUUAACCUGGGAACUGCGUCUGAUACUGGAAGGCUUGAGUAUGGGAGAGGGAUGUAGAAUUCCAGGUGUAGCGGUGAAAUGCGUAGAUAUCUGGAGGAAUACCGGUGGCGAAGGCGGCAUCCUGGACCAUUACUGACGCUGAGGCGCGAAAGCUAGGGGAGCAAACAGG
rnacentral:rRNA from 1 species